UGUACGUCGGAAACGGGUCUCUAUCCUGUGUAUGUUUUUGUUACAUAGUCUUGGCAUCGUUAACCGACGCCUUGUCUCCUAUAUUAGUUUAAUUAGUUUGGCCCCAUCAGAGCUUUAGACAUUAUCGAGUGAUUCUGCGCGCGGACAUUUGAAGGGUCUCUCUCUGCGCCGUUGUGCGAAAUGUUAAGGCGAUUCAUCAACGUGUCGCUCGCUGCAUCUUCGAACAUACCCGAACCACACUGUGGAAACAAUGUUUCUUUUUCUUUUCCCCCGCUUCCUUCGGUCGUGUGAAAGGAAACUAAUUAUCGACUGAAUCUUCUUCGCCGGUAAAACUUGGAACGUUCAAAUGCCGUGUACCGCACAAUCACCCCGUUACAUGUAUAAUAAGAUUUUGAUUGCAGUCUUAAGUCACAUCCGGGAGUGUCUAAAAGUCGAUAAAAAGUCACAUAUAUAUAUGUAUAUAUAUAUAAAUACCUAAUUCUCGGCGGUGACUGAAGCGACGAGAGAAGCGUCUCCCUGCCCUUUUUCUAUUCCUUUGCCAUUUUCAACGGCGUCUUCGAACUGGCCUGGCACCGGCAGCGGGUCUUUUGUUGCAUUCGUGUUCGGAAUCGAAUCGCUGGUCGCGAGAGCAUAACAGCCAUUAAAAAUAUCCACCGAGUUCGACAUCGUUAACCUUUAACCCUUAUCAUUUCAACAAUAUCAUAGAACAAUUGCCAGUUGCUCCGAAUAAAUUUUAUUAAUCUCAAAGAGGAAAUUCAAUUAUGAUUGUUAGAUUUCACGUAAAACAUAUGACACCUUACCUGUGGUGGAAGCCGUCCGCGAGGAUGCCCUUGCAGUGGUUGGGGCAAGCGACCUGGUUGCCCGUAAUUAGGACCCCACUGACCAACAACUACUCCGGCAAUUUCUAAUUGACCACCGCGAGAUGGUAUAGGUCGUCGCAUUAACCCGCGUUGGGGCAUUGUCCCGCUUCCGCGGCCGCGCAUUAAACCGUCAUUAAUUGUGCAACUGGCAGCUAAAAUAUUCUGAGGUACAGACACCCGAAUACCUAAAACAUGUCCAUAGUUACUCGAAUGAAAAUGAUAGAUUAUCAUGCAUGUGAAAAGAAAACCGUUUGUAUCAGCUUUGAGAUUCGCAGACCUAGGCAAGGUGUAAAGAUUGCGAAGCAACACAGCUGAAUUUACUUUCCUUCCACUCCGAAAGCAUACCAUUUCAAAUACACAUGGAAUGCCAAGGUGUUUGGAAGGAAACAUCGAGUUCAUUGAACGAAGAGUUGAAACUUUUCUAUUUAUGAAUCGAACACAUUGCCGCUGUGUUAUGCAAGGCUCUGAAGCUUAACGGAUUAUAAGAAACUGUUUAAGCAUAGAAGAAUAACAUACCUGGUGCAACAGGCAUCGGUGGUCGUGCGAAAACAACAUUCAUACCCUCCAGUACAGCUUUCCUCAUCCGUUCAACUUUCACAACGCGAUCUAUAUGGCCACUGCAGAGUUCCAAUAGGUUUUUCGCUAUCGUAGCACGGGCUAACGUAUGGUGGAAUAAUUUACCAUCGAAAUACAACCACGGACAACACAUUAACCAUGGGAUUGGCGCACCACAAGCAUCAUUGGCCAAUAGAGCAGUUUCAACGCCAGCCAUAAAUAAUGUAGCUAGUUGUACUCCGCGAGACGUCACUAAGGGAAGCUGUAAAAGGAAAUUGAAAGUUUACAACAAAUUUUCGACAAUGAUAUCAAGACUGACAUACCCAAACCACAAACGUUGAAUCGUUGGAACGCCCCAACCAAUUUGUUCCGCUUUCACCGAUUCCGGAGUCUGGUAUGGAUUCGAUUUGGACCAUACCCAUUCUUUUAUCACAACGUCUGGGACUUCAAUUUUUUCAGUAUCUAUUGAACAAAUCGGAAGUGUAUCGAAAUCUGACAGUUUCAGUUAGUGUUGUAAAACACUCGACACAUCGAAACUUCAAGAUUUUAUAAAGUCUCAAGACUUUGUAAACCCAAUCUUAAAGGCUGAAUCUUGAAGAUUUGAAGUCCAAUAAAGCUCAAGUCUUCGAAGCUUUAAAGCUCAACCUUAAAAACCGAGUUUUCGAAGCUUGAACUGAACCUCGAGAGUCUUUAUGCUUAACAACAGUUGAAGACUCGAGCCAUCUGUUGCUAUAUUAACAUCUCAUUGAAAAUUUCAAAUUUAAAGUUUAGUCUUUGAGGCAUUUCAAUUUUUUUAGGCUUCUACUUUUAGAGCACAAGCUCUGAAGACUCGAGGCUCAUAGCUUGAGUUUUUCGAUUUUUACAACACUAGUUUCAAUGUACCGUUGUACGAGAACGACUCUACUUACCACCUUUUUCUUUACUUUUAGCAGCUAAAUACAUCCGGUGAUGAAGAUUAAACAAUAUCGCGUACACCAUCUGCCGCACGGGCCUAUAGAUGAGAUGAAUAGAUGGGAAUUCGCGGUGAUUCUCGUCCUCCAAGAGGACCGGUAAUUUAAUUUCGCCGGCGAUAAGAAUCUGGUAAAUGUGAGGGGACAUCAAUCCUUUCUGAUGCCUCUCGGAUGCGGUACGCAUUACUUCCGGCACCGUAGUGGGAACACUAGUUGUCUUCUCCGCUUGCUUAGCAGAAUCGGCUGUCGCAUGGGAUGGAGAAGUGGCGGAAGAACUGCUACUCGAACUCGACGAACUAAUUAGAAG